rnacentral:ncRNA from 1 species
GGGGCGGGCCGUGACUGGCGCUGAGGUGGAGCACCACCGGGGAGCGGUCCGUGACCCCUCAUGCCGUGCGCCUGGGCGACACCG